UUUUCAAGAAUGCAACCCAGCGGUGCAUCAUCGAUUGAAGAAGAAGAGCCAGAAGGAUAGUACAACGCCGAAAUGGCAAGAACAACGCCAACAAAUGGCAAAAGAGAAACCACUCCAUUGACCCUAUCUAGUUUGGACCAGAAUCUAGUCACAACCCCCGCAGAAACCCUGCACAACAACAAGCCUAAAAGACGAAGAAGUCGCGCAUAGGACCCCAACAACCGCUUCACGCCCGCCACCAAGCCUCUUGAAGAAUCACCGCAACAUCAGGACCGCCCCGGACGAUAUAGCCCACCAUCAUGCCAAGAGAGAAGAUCGGCAAGUGGGGUAGCCGUAGGUCGGAACUGAAUAAGGAGAUUGGCCAAGUUGCGUCGACGAGGGGUACAUCGCGCCCACAAGUCCAGCAUCCCAGGCAUGGAACUGGCACCAUCACCCACAUGCUCGCUGAAGGGCUCCCUGGCCACCAAGACAACGCUCUCAAGAGAGGAGAACAACGUUGAGCGCCAAGGGUUUCCUCCGGUGCCAGAGGAGGAAGGAGUCCUAGUCAAGCCGCAAGCCGCAACGAUGCCUCCAAGGUCACGAUGCCCGGUCAUCAAUCGUCGGCGUUAGCAACAGCCACAUGAGGAUUUCUCCCGGCCCAUGACCACGAACUCCGCAUCCAUACAGAAACUGCCACGGUGACCAUGCCGGCGAUCCACCGCCGAAGGGAGAAGAAUCCACAAAGAUCAUCCCAUGUGAAGAGUACUACAAGAAUCCACAUGACACGGUAUCAUUUUCCUAUGCAGAACUUGCUGGAUAUGCUACUCAGAACAUCUUCAGAUAUGUCUUCCCCAUUGAUCAUUGCUAGAGCCAAUGCAGCGUCUCUCAAGUCAAUAGUCCAAAAGUCCAUUGCCAAUGCUCAUUGAUUUGAGGACUCUAGUCUUUUAAAUGCUUAUUGCGUCCAGGGGUUGUCCCAAUUGCCUCUGGAUAAUAUAAUGCUCAUUGAUUUGAGGACUCUAGUCUUUUAAAUGCUUAUUGCGUCCAGGAGUUGUCCCAAUUGCCUCUGGAUAAUAUAAUUGAAUUGGAAAAGAGUCAACAACCUUUGAUGUUA